UACGGAGGAUCCGAGCGUUAUCCGGAUUUACUGGGUUUAAAGGGUGCGUAGGCGGAAGUUUAAGCGUGAGGUGAAAUGCCAUGGCUCAACCAUGGAACUGCCUCGCGAACUGGAUUUCUGGAAUGCCCCUGCCGUGGGAGGAAUGUGUGGUGUAGCGGUGAAAUGCAUAGAGAUCACACAGAACACCGAUUGCGAAGGCAUCUCACGAAGGGGUGAUUGACGCUGAGGCACGAAAGCGUGGGGAU
rnacentral:rRNA from 1 species